GACGAACGCUGGCGGCGUGCUUAACACAUGCAAGUCGAGCGGAGCGGCGGACGGGCGAGUAAUGCCUAGGAAUGUGACUGGUAGUGGGGGAUAACGUCCGGAACCGGGCGAUAAUACCGCAUACUAUCAGAUGAGCCUAGGUCGGAUUAGCUAGUUGGUGGGGUAAAGGCAGACCAAGGCGACGAUCCGUAACUGGUCUGAGAGGAUGAGCAGUCACACUGGAACUGAGACACGGUCCAGACUCCUACGGGAGGCAGCAGUGGGGAAUAUUGGACAAUGGGCGAAAGCCUGAUCCAGCCAUGCCGCGUGUGUGAAGAAGGUCUUCGGAUUGUAAAGCACUUUAAGUUGGGAGGCGUUACCAACAGAAUAAGCACCGGCUAACUUCGUGCCAGCAGCCGCGGUAAUUC
rnacentral:rRNA from 1 species